UCACCUUCCUUACUUUUUGGUCCGUUGCAUUCCGUGAAGUUUUCAUUGGAAACUUGCUUUUCCGCUGCUCUGUUAAUGAGCCUCACCAAGUCGUGGCGGAUAUGGCUAUUUUUAAGAGGAUUUUCAUUGGACUGCUGCUUAGGCGUCAAGUGGAUGGGCGCCUUUGUUGUGUCUCUAAUUGGUUAGUCCACUGUCUAUGAGCUUUGGAACAUUUGGGGCGACCUGCAUAAUUCUCCAAAGACAGUUUUGCACCACUUUCUUACCCGCAUGGUUUGCUUGAUUGUCUUCCUUUUGCGCUGUACGCCUCUUUUUUCCGGAUCCACUUCUGUUGAGCGUUCUAUUCCGGCCAGGGAGACGGUUUCAUGAGCUCAAAGUUUCAACACACGAUCGUUGGAAUCCUCUGGCUCAUCAGUUGAGCGCAAAGCACUUGGUUUAUGGGGCUAAGUUUACACUACGGAGCGCAUAUUCUGGCGGGGGCUCCUGCACUCCCACGCAGAACUCUAUCCCAUAGAGUAUUUGCAAACUCUCCAUUUGUAGGUGCGUCUCGGUGGUUGCUAUCGUGCAUUGCUGUGAAUUAUUCUCAACAGGUCACAACAUAAUUCCUAUAAGGACGGUGUAAUAACGAUUGUACAUCAAAAAGGCACCGCAUGGUGGUCUCUUGCAUGCCUAAUUCGAUCCAAUAUAUUUUACUUGGGUCUCAGCUAAAUCAGGCGGUGUACGAACUCCAAGUUGGAGCCUGUUCUUCACGGAAACCUCGUGCGUCUAAAGCACGUGAGCACUGCCAAGCACUUGCCCAGUCACAACGUGCCCGCGUUCAUGACUCUGUGCAGAAACAGGUUUUUGGCUGCGAGCACAAUGAUUCCAAUGACCACUGGCAAGUACUGGUAGACGGCUACGAUGAUUGGCCUAUCCUGCACUUCUUGGCAAGAGCGACACAAUGCCUGUAACCGAGCUUAUCACAGCAUUGCUAUCUACUCUACAGCGGCGUCAACCUGAAGUGGGGCUUCGAGCAAGGCGGGGUCACGUGAACUCUUCCUAUUCCGAUUCCGCAAUUUGUGGAACUUUGAAACCAUCGCCGAUCCCCACGUCGAGUCAUUUAGUUUGAAGCAUGCGAAACCUCUUUCUUUUCUCGAGAGAGUCAUUGAGCUGAACACCUCUAUGAUGAAAGUUAGCAAUAAAUUUAAACCCAAGCCUAGAGAAAACUCUCCCGGCCCUGGGAUUGGCCCAUUCUGAAGCAAGGUUACCGUUUCAACCCUAGUCAUGAGCACAAUCAUCGCAUCUUCUUAAUGGGCAAUCCGCUGGUGUUUGGUGCAUCCGGGCUCUCUCUCAUCUCAUACUGUUUUCUCCUACUCUUUUACGCAAUUAUUAGAGAAAAGCUGCAGCAACAACUCAUAUGUGAACUACCAGUACUAACUCUACUGCAGGGGUAGAGCACCCCUACCUGAAGCACCGGAGCGCUGUGGUGCACACGUCGGGGGGCAUGGCUGUUUCUAGGCUAUCUUCUGCACUACCUUCCCUUUUACUUCAUCACAAGAGUUCUGUACUUCCAUCACUACCUCCCCGCUCUGCUCUUCUAUUUUAUGGUCAGCGGAGUUUUUUUCGAAGAGCUGUUAUUCUGGCUGCGAGCCUGGAAACUGUCGCGCUUCCCCCUCGCCUGUGGCCUCUAUUCUUUGCAGGCGCUCUCAUACACUCUUUUGUGUACUUUUCACUUUUUGCAUAUUUGAAAUGACGGACGACAGAAAAUU